rnacentral:rRNA from 1 species
CCUACGGGAGGCAGCAGGGGGGAAUCUUGGGCAAUGGGCGCAAGCCUGACCCAGCAACGCCGCGUGAAGGUAGAAGGCUUUCGGGUUGUAAACUUCUUUUAAGAGGGAAGAGCUGAAUACGGUACCUCUUGAAUAAGCCACGGCUAACUACGUGCCAGCAGCCGCGGUAAUCCGUAGGUGGCAAGCGUUUUCCGGAUUUACUGGGUGUAAAGGGCGUGCAGCCGGGAAGACAAGUCAGAUGUGAAAUCCCGCGGCUCAACCGCGGAACUGCAUUUGAAACUGUUUUUCUUGAGUACCGGAGAGGUCAUCGGAAUUCCUUGUGUAGCGGUGAAAUGCGUAGAUAUUAGGAGGAACACCAGUGGCGAAGGCGGCUUACUGGACUGUAACUGACGUUGAGGCUCGAAAGCGUGGGGAGCAAACAGGAUUAGAUACCCCUGUAGUC